rnacentral:rRNA from 1 species
GACGUAGGGUGCGAGCGUUGUCCGGAGUUAUUGGGCGUAAAGGGCGCGUAGGCGGCCUGGCGCGUCGCACGUGAAAGCCCACGGCUCAACCGUGGAGGGUCGUGCGAGACGGUCAGGCUGGAGGCAGGGAGAGGCUGGUGGAAUUCCCAGUGUAGAGGUGAAAUUCGUAGAUAUUGGGAAGAACACCAGUGGCGAAGGCGGCUCACUGGCCCGUAACUGGACGCUGAGGUGCGAAAGCGUGGGGAGCAAACAGGG